UACCAGCUCUCCGAGUGGUAGGGAUGAUUAUUGGGCUUAAAGCGUCCGUAGCCGGCUUAGCAAGUUUCCUGUUAAAUUCAGCGACCUAAUCGUUGAGCCGCGGGAAAUACUACUAGGCUAGGAGGCGGGAGAGGUCGACGGUACUUCUGGGGUAGGGGUGGAAUCCUAUAAUCCCGGGAGGACCACCAGUGGCGAAGGCUGUCGACUAGAACGCGCUCGACGGUGAGGGACGAAGCUGGGGGAGCGAACCGGAUUAGAUACCCGGGUAGUCCCAGCUGUAACGAUGCGGGCUAGGGUGUUGGGGUGGCUACGUGCCACUUCAGUGCCGCAGGGAAGCCAUUAGGCCCGCCGCCUGGGGAGUACGGCCGCAAGGCUGAAACUUAAGGAAUUGGCGGGGGAGCACCACGAAGGCGUGAAGCGUUGCGGUUC
rnacentral:rRNA from 1 species